rnacentral:lncRNA from 1 species
UCCUGGGCAAGGCCUGCCACCAUGCGUGCCACGCCAGGAGCUGCAGAGCAGCAAGGGUCAGCAUGUGUCGGGGAGGUGGCUGGCGGGACAAAUGAUCAAGAUAGACCACAAGGAGAGAGGGGAAAACCACUGCAAGGGUUGUGCCUUUUGGCUGCACGGUGCUGUAUUAGAAGGGGAGCGUUUGCAGAUCUCCACUGCAACCCUGGCACAGGGAGCCAGCUCGGGGCUGCUUGGCAUCAGCUCUUCUGGCUGCAGUGGCUGAUACCACCACCCACUUUUGUUUCCACCAGCCCAACACUGCAUCACCACCAUCUCAAGGAAAUCAGUCUGGCUGCCCAGUUCACCCCAAGUGCCAAGAGGCAUCAGCUCCACUUUCAGAUGUACCAAGAGGGGUGUUCUCACGGGUGGCAGCUGCUCUCAGCAUCAGUGUCUCCGGAGCCGGCCCCGUGCACGGGAGGGUGAUUUGCCAAGAGGACCUGGAGCUGCCAUAGUGGGGACGGGUCUCCUGCAGACAGUUUAGGGGCACUUCUGCAAGACAGCCCCAUCGUGGCCAAGAAGGAGGAGGUGGGGGUGCGCGGGGGACACCCUCAUAGCACCUCCUAAUCCGGCACCCUCCAGCCUGCCCGGUGGCCAGGGCACAAGACAGCCCCCUGACAAAUCCUCGCGCUCCCUUUCCAAACGCUCCCUCCUUUCUUAUUUGAAGAAGUACAGAUUGCUUUUCCCUGGAAUGCUUUUGUCUAAAAUUCCCUUGAUGGGAUUAAGAAAAAAAUGGACAACAGGUAAAAAAUAACUAUUCCCCUGCCCCAGUCCCCUCUGAAAGGCUGGGGGUGUGCUUGACGAUAACUCUGUCCCGGGCAGGGGAUGCUGGUGAUGGGAUCUGGGGAAGAGUGGGACAUCUGGGGGCCUUUCUCUUGUCACCGGGAGAUGGGGGGACAUAAAGCAGUAGGAACUGGGGAUACGUCCCAGGACUGGCACCUCGCCAGCCCACCAAAAGCCCUCUCUCUCCUCUCACCCCAGACAUCAGCGUUUUGUGUCGGGAGCAAGAGGAGGGCCAAAGCAAGGGGGGCUGAGCGGAAACAGCAGCGGGGCGAGUGGAGGAGGGGUCGGCCGCAGCGGGUACCGGGGCGUGCGCCUCGGGGGGACGGGAACGGGGAAGAGGGGUGCCGGGGACAGGCGAGACCCCCCCGGCCCCUCACUGCGCCUGGAGGGAGAAGGCCAGCUUGAGGC